GUUUAAUUAAUAUAUACCUACGGAUUGGGCUUAAAUACCGUCUAUGUUGGGCUUUGAUUUGGGCCUUCUACACAUACCCCUUUUCAUCGAUGGAGAAAACCCUAAUCCCCAAAUUCACGUAUAUAAACCGCAGCUACAAUCCCUACAAUCACAGACUACUCACCAUUGAUAACAUAAUCACUCGUAACCUCUUCAUCUACAUAUUUUAUUGCCUCUGUGUGAGAAAUCCUUUGAAUACUCGAAGUGAUUUCUCCAUGAAUUUACGUUCAACUGAGGCGUAUAAUCAUUGCGGAAGCGUUGAGUCGCUUCGUUUUUGUUAUUCACCGGACGCAGCUAAUAAAACUCCGCUACAUUUCUUUACUCAAGUUUGUUUUCAAUGUUUUUUUUUUUUAAUUUUUUUUAACUUAAUUGUUUUUUUUUUUUUUUUUUUUUUUUGUGUGAAUUUGAGUUGUGUUUGGUGAUCCAGUGAUGGCAUGAUAUCUUUGAGACCUGAUUAUUUACAUUUUGAUGACAGCUAUAAGCAUUUUAAGCUGAGGAUCAUUUCAAUUUUUAAUUUUUAAAUUUCUAUUUUUAUUUAUAUGUUUUUUUUUUUUAAUUUUAGUUUGAUUUUUGAAGUGAUGAAGUUUGCACUGGGCUCUGAGAGUAAUUGAUUAAUUGCUUGAUUUGAUGCAUAUUGCAGCCUAGAAAGCUAGUCUGAUCACAUUUAUCUUGAUUAAUAAUAAGUAUUAUUUAAUUUAUUUGUUUAUUUAUUAAUUUAUUUUAAUAAUAAUUGUGGUAUUGCUAUGAUGAUUGAACUUGCAUCCCAGCUCACUAUGAGACCUUGAUAUGUUUGAGGUUCUUGAUUACAAAUGGUUCAUUUUAAUCUGAGCUUUUAAAAUUUUUUAUUUUUUGUUUUUCUUUGUUUUUGUUGGUGCAAUGAUGAUGAAACUAUCUAAUCCCAGCUCUAUGAGACCUUGAUUUGUUUAAGGUUUAGGAAUUACAAUGUUUAGUUAUUAUCUGAGCUUUUUGUUUAUUUUUUUAGUUAGAAAUUAGUGAUUAUGUUCCCAAUGAUUUUAAAUUUGACCAUGCUAAUUCUGAUAUUGUUGAAUCAGUUCACAGUUAUUAAUGAGGGAACUUGUGUUAAUGAGAUACUUAUCUAAAUAAACUAUUUUGUUUUUUUUUUUUCAUCCAUUAACAAAUAUAUUUUGCGUGAACCAAAUGGUUUUUUCUUGAAUAAAGGUUUUAUACAGCGAAUCUGGUUUCGUAUAUUGAGUUCUCAUAUGCCAGUCUACCAAGUCAUUAAGGAAAAAGGAGAAGUAUCAAGAUGGAUCAUGUAUUUUUUUUUAGUGUUAUGAUUCUUACCAGUAAAUUUUGUAACCUUAUUGAAUCUGUUAUCUCACAUUUUUAUUUUGUAAAUUAAUAUUCUUUUGUGCUUCAUUCAUGGUUUCAUUUUAGAAGUCAUUUUUGCAGCCGUUAAAUGAUUUUAAAUAAGGUGGUAGGGUUGGGUUCAACGGAAACCGAGAAGAACUGAUCCUAAACUAAAACCUAAGUUAAACUAAACUGUUAAAUUCAAAUUAUAAACCCUGAAAGCUGAUUUCCCCCUUAGACCACCUGUAGUGGUGAAGUGUUUGGGCGUUUUUUGGUUCAACAAUGCUCCUCCACGCCCAUUUGCCCUCCUGGGCGGUGUUUUUAUAUCAAAGCCCAACAUCCAAUUCUUUUGCCCAUAAGGCUCCUUGCUGACUGGAUCGCCACAUACGCAAAAUGCCCAAGACUCAUCCAAAAUUCACAACAGCCAUAGCUGGUUGUUAAUUAAUCACACAGAUUACCGACCCUUGUUGGCCUGCUAGAAGUAACAUCACUAUAGACUUGGUGUGCAUGCUUUUUGGCGAAGGGGACGAGAAUAGUGAUCGUCUUUUCUCCUCUUGCUAUAUAUAUAUAGCCUUGAUUAUCUGGGAGUUUAUUAGUCGAUGGUGUGAUAACAAGAAAAGAAAAGUGAUACAAGCUAUUACGGGGAUGGAAAUCUAGGUACGGAGUCAUUUUCACUAAUAGAUCGAUGUAUAAGAAAGGUGAUACAAGCUAUUACAAGCAUCAAGGUGUUGGAUUAUUUCUGGAUUAAAAUAGAUCGAUGUAUAAGAGUAUUACGUGGAGAGAUUGGUGUAACUUUAAGUUGUAUGUCGUGUUUUUUUGCUGGGCCUAGGGAUUUUCUAUUGGCCGUUUUUAAUGAUAGGUGCUGUUCAAAAAAAAAA